CCAAAGGGGCAAGCACAGUGUCCUGCCACCACAGCUGGAUGUGCAGCAAUUCUCUCUGGAAAUUUGGUCCUUCACUUCAUCUCUACAGCCAUGCUCCAGAGAAUGAUGCUGUCAAGUCAGAGCACAUUUCUUUGGGAGACAUUUCGUUUGAAAGAUUUUGAUAAAGCGCCUAAUGCACAACGAUAAAUACUGACCAAAAUGUAGUUCUCAUAACUGGAUGAAGCUCCAGCUCAUACCAUGACCAUGUAUUGUGACUUGGGGAGACAAAAUUCAUUUCUACUGAUCGCUCUGGGRAAAAAAAAAAAAAAAAAAAGAAAAAAGUAGGAUUUUCAAUGAGUCUAGGUCACCUAGGUUAUGGUACAUCCAUUCUGUACUCCAGAGCACACACUAAAUGCUCCUUAUGCCAUCACCUGGUCCCCUAAUAACAGAAGAAACAGGGUUUGAAAGCACAAAAAAAAAAAAGAAAGAAAACAAAAAAUUACAUCCAAUAUACACAUAAAUUAUAUAAAAACCUUCCUGCAUAUGUAUAUAUAGUCAAUAAAAUUAAAUGCAGUUGCAUACUCAGGCACACUCUUAUGAUGCAAAAAAUGAUCAGAUGCAGACUCAAACUCUCAACUCCGUAACUUUAUAAAAUUGACAUCUACAUAAUUUAUCUCAUUAUUAUGUAAUAUUUAAUUUUAAAUUAUACAUUUUUUUAUAUGGUCUUUCAGAAGCUCUCUUACAAGUUGUGCUGCUGAUGUAACAUCAUCCCUUUCCAUCUACUUUAUCUCUUACCAUUUUGAGUUAUAUUUGUGGGCAUUGCUGAUGAAGAGUUGUAUGAAGAAUAGACAGUGAAUUAUCCAUGGUAAUGAUUGUUGCUUGACUUAAAAUAAAAAGUAACAGCCUUUUAAGGUUAACAUCAGUUUCAUGUUUGGAUUGUUUCUACCAUUUGGAAAGGUUUGACAUGUUUUUAAAUUACUAAGUAAUGUGAAAAUACGUUACUAGCACAGGACUGUUGUCUAUGUAAAUAUUUCAUGAGUAGAGUCACCCGUCAUUGGUUAAUAAGGUAACAAAGAUUCAAAGCUAUUUAUGUUGACUCAUAUUUUUAAAAUGAGGAAUUUGGAAACAAGAAAAUGUGACAAAGUUGAUCAGGAUCUAAGAUACUGGCUAUAGACAGACUGUGUCUUGCCUGACAUGAAAUGUUAUUUUAAAUCACUUAUUGAAAAGAGAUGUAACAUUGUCCAKGUGAAAUAUAUUAAAUGUGUAAUACAACGAGUCACCUAAUGAACCUAGGAUAAAUAGUUAUCAUUUUUAGGUUUGCAGAGAUGAAAGACAAAACCUUGGUAGGUUUUGCUUCCACUGAUUCUCCCAUGUGUCCAUGACAUCAAAUACAGCAGAUAGCCCAUUUAUCAUAGAGUUUACUCUAUGAUUAACUCCAUUUAUCAUAGAGUUUACAUGAACGUUAUCACCUUGGGGUUAACAGUACGACUGGAGAGUGAGUGCAGCUCAUGGGUUCAGCCUGCAGCAGCCACCCCCUUGGUACUCCCCAGUCUGCCUUCAUUCACAGGCAGUGUAAGGGCAU